GCUGGGUGUGUUGGUGCAUGCCUGUAAUCCCAGCGAUUUUGGGAGGCUGAGGCAGGAGGAUUGUGAGUUCAAAGCCAGCCUCAG
rnacentral:sRNA from 1 species